AACGAACGCUGGCGGCAUGCCUAACACAUGCAAGUCGAACGAGAUCUUCGGAUCUAGUGGCGCACGGGUGCGUAACACGUGGGAAUCUGCCCUUGGGUUCGGAAUAACUCUCCGAAAGGAGUGCUAAUACCGGAUGAUGUCGAAAGACCAAAGAUUUAUCGCCCAGGGGUGAGCCCGCGUAGGAUUAGCUAGUUGGUGGGGUAAAGGCCUACCAAGGCGACGAUCCUUAGCUGGUCUGAGAGGAUGAUCAGCCACACUGGGACUGAGACACGGCCCAGACUCCUACGGGAGGCAGCAGUGGGGAAUAUUGGACAAUGGGCGAAAGCCUGAUCCAGCAAUGCCGCGUGAGUGAUGAAGGCCUUAGGGUUGUAAAGCUCUUUCACCCGGGAUGAUAAUGACAGUACCGGGAGAAUAAGCCCCGGCUAACUCCGUGCCAGCCGCCGCGGUAAUAC
rnacentral:rRNA from 1 species